AUACGUAGGGUGCGAGCGUUGUCCGGAAUUACUGGGCGUAAAGAGCUCGUAGGUGGUUUGUCGCGUCGUCUGUGAAAUUCCGGGGCUUAACUCCGGGCGUGCAGGCGAUACGGGCAUAACUUGAGUACUGUAGGGGAGACUGGAAUUCCUGGUGUAGCGGUGAAAUGCGCAGAUAUCGGGAGGAACACCGGUGGCGAAGGCGGGUCUCUGGGCAGUAACGGACGCUGAGUCGCGAAAGCAUGGGUAGGGAACAGGACUAGUUACCCUGGUAGUCAGUGCCGUAAACGGUGGGCGUAAGGUGUAGGGGUAUUCCACGCUUUCGGUGCCGUAGCUAACGCAUUAAGCGACCCGCCUGGGGAGUACGGCCGCAAGGCUAAAACUCAAAUGAAUUGACGGGG
rnacentral:rRNA from 1 species